rnacentral:ncRNA from 1 species
GCUAUUUAGAAUUAGAUCAGGAUAUACCGCAAAUAGGGCGCCAAGAGCAUGGAACCGGAUUCGAUACCCGGAUACUUCUUGCCGUAAACGAUGCAGACUAUGAGAUCAGUAGAUAAACUAUUGGUUUUCGUUGCUAACGCUAGAGUCUGCCACCUGCAUAGUACAGUCGAAAGACCGAAACGUCAAUGAUUAGACCGUUCUCAGGCACAUGGAGUGAAGUAUGCCGUUUAAUACGAUAGCCCGCGUAAAAUCUUACCACUUCUUGCAUCUUAUCUAAAUCAGUAGAUAUGACAGGUGUUGCAUGGCUGUCGUCAGUUAGUGUUCGUGAGACCUAUGGUUGAUUCCGUAUAACUAACGCAAACCUCGCUAUGAAUAUAUAUGUUUUAUAGUCUAGAUUUGAUAUAAGUCUAGUUUAGGAGGACUAUGACAAGCCUUCAUGACCCUUAUGAAGUGGGCUACACGCGUGCCACUAGAAUAUCAACAAUGUGAUACAAUACUGAAAAGUGGAGUUAACCAUCAACUGAUAUUAAUGUACGGAUUAAAGGCUGGAACUCGCCUUUAUGAAGUAGGAAUUCCGAGUAAUCGCGUAUCAUAACGACGCGGUGAAGUAUACCUCUGGGUGGGUACUAAUUGCUCGUCACGGGGGGGUAGGCAAAUAUUGUUGAAUAAUGUUCUCGUUAGAAACAAUAUAGGCUGAUUUCUCUGAAGUCGAAACAUAGUAGCCGUAAGGGAACUUGUGGCUGAUUAAUAAAUCUU